AUGUUGUGUUUGUGUAGCAUGCACAGUUCUUUACUUUAUGCAAGCCAACCAAAUACAUUGUGCUCUUUUCUUUUUUCUUCCUCAAGGCGCUUUGUUGAAGUUUUUCUGGCCCACAACAACAACAGCAGCAGCAGCAGCAACAGCAGACCUCUACACAUCAAACAAUAUCAACCUCAGAUCAUGAGGGGAGAAUUGGAGAUCAAUUCUGCUGUCUACACUUUUCCAGACCACGCCUCCACCUGCCCAAAUGACAUGUUAAACUACAUUUACAGUGAAAACCUUCUGGAUCUGUACAGUAAUCUAAGCAUUGCAUUGUGUCUCCUCUUGACUCUUGUUGUCUCUGGUGAGAGGAGCUUUUCUGCUUUGAAGUCAAGAUCAAAACCUAUUUGAGGUCAACCAUGUGCCAGGAGAGGCUCACAGGACUGGCACUGAUUUCAAUAGAAAGAGUUGUUCGGAGGUCCUUAGAUAUGGAAGACAUAGUGGCUGCAUUUGCAGAAGCCAAGGCCCGCAAGCAGCAGUUUUAAGAAAAAAAAGGCACUACUAUUGGACUGUGGAUAUAGGACCAAGGUGUCACAGCAAGUCUUAAGUUCUUCCUUGCCACUUCAGUUCCGUUUUUAUCAUUCUGAAAAUUUUGCAC
rnacentral:lncRNA from 15 species